AACGCGAAGAACCUUACCAGGGCUUGACAUGCACGGGAAUGUCAUAGAAAUAUGGCAGUCUUCGGACUCGUGCACAGGUGGUGCAUGGCUGUCGUCAGCUCGUGUCGUGAGAUGUUGGGUUAAGUCCCGCAACGAGCACAACCCUUAUCUCCAGUUGCUACCAUUUAGUUGAGCACUCUGGCGAAACCGCCUCGGAUAACGGGGAGGAAGGUGGGGAUGACGUCAAAUCAUCAUGCCCCUUAUGACCUGGGCUACACACGUGCUACAAUGGACGGUACAAAGCGCUGCCAACCCGCGAGGGGGAGCCAAUCCCAAAAAGCCGGUCGUAGUCCGGAUCGCAGUCUGCAACUCGGCUGCGUGAAGUCGGAGUCGCUAGUAAUCGCAGAUCAGCAACGCUGCGGUGAAUACGUUCCCGGGUCUUGUACACACCG
rnacentral:rRNA from 1 species